rnacentral:rRNA from 1 species
GAUGAACGCUGGCGGCGUGCCUAAUACAUGCAAGUCGAGCGAACGGACGAGAAGCUUGCUUCUCUGAUGUUAGCGGCGGACGGGUGAGUAACACGUGGAUAACCUACCUAUAAGACUGGGAUAACUUCGGGAAACCGGAGCUAAUACCGGAUAAUAUUUUGAACCGCAUGGUUCAAAAGUGAAAGACGGUCUUGCUGUCACUUAUAGAUGGAUCCGCGCUGCAUUAGCUAGUUGGUAAGGUAACGGCUUACCAAGGCAACGAUGCAUAGCCGACCUGAGAGGGUGAUCAGCCACACUGUAACUGAGACACGGUACAGACUCCUACGGGAGGCAGCAGUAGGGAAUCUUCCGCAAUGGGCGAAAGCCUGACGUAGCAACGCCGCGUGAGUGAUGAAGGUCUUCGGAUCGUAAAACUCUGUUAUUAGGGAAGAACGUAUGUGUAAGUAGCUGUGCACAUCUUGACGAUACCUAAUCAGAAAGCCACGGCUAACUACGUG